rnacentral:lncRNA from 1 species
GUGACUUAGGGUUUAACUGUCAACCCUGAAAAUGUCAAUCAUAUUAUAUUUCAACCUUUCAUAUCCAUCACAUGAAUUAUUUUAUUCAAGAUUUUAUUAAAUUAAAAUAUACUGAUGCAUUAACUCUUACUUAUUCGGAGGGGUCAAUCCCAUCUUGAUUCAUGCACCGACGUAACAAGUACUUGACUACACCUAGAGAUCCUCCAUCACUGAAUUAGAAAUUAUGAUAAUCCAAUACCAAAGUAUAGUGAGUUGCUUGCAAGUCACCGUGGUGAUCUC